GAGGACUCAAAGGAAGAUCCUGUCAAAGAGAAAGAUGCAGCAGAAUCAAAGAAAUGUGUCAAGAAGGGAGAUGCAGAAGACUCGAAGGAAGAUCAUGUGAAGGUUGAAAAUGCACAGGAAUCAAAGAAAUCUAUCAAGGAGGAAGAGACAGAGAAUUCGAAGGAAGUUCAUGUCAAGGAGGAAGAUGCAGAGGAUUCAAAGGAAGUCCCUCUCAAGGAGGAAGAUGCAGAGGACUCAAAGGAAGAUCCUGUCAAGGAGGAAGGUCUACAGGACCUAAAGGAAGAUGCUGCAGAGGAGAAAGAUACAGAGGACUUAAAGGAAGAUAUUGUCAAGGAGGAAGAUGCUGAGAACUCAAAGGAAGAUCCUGUCAAGGAGAAAGGUCUACAGGACCUAAAGGAAGAUGCUACAAUGGAGAAAGACGCAGAGGACUUAAAGGAAGAUAUUGUCAAGGAGGAAGAUAUAGUUGAGUCAAAAGAGGAGGCUAUAAAGGUGAAAGAUGUAGAGGAGUCAAAGGAAAAUGUUGUAAUUGGGGAAGAUGCAGAGGAGUCAAAGGAAGAUGUUGUAAUGGGGGA
rnacentral:lncRNA from 1 species